rnacentral:ncRNA from 2 species
UGAAACCGAUUGGGAGAGCGCAUCCUUGGAUGCCGCCGAAGGCGCAACACCCGUAACCGCUCAGGCUCAGGAACCAAUCGGAACAG